CGCCGUGCGCCGCAGCGGGUUCAUGCCGAGCGGGCGGAGGCGGGCAGCCGACCCGGUAGGCGCGCGCCGGUCUGCAGCGUUCGGCCUGAACCAUGGCAGCGGCGCCCCUGAAAGUGUGCAUCGUGGGCUCUGGGAACUGGGGUUCAGCUGUUGCAAAAAUAAUUGGUAAUAAUGUCAAGAAACUUCAGAAGUUUGCCUCCACAGUCAAGAUGUGGGUCUUUGAAGAAACAGUUAAUGGGAGAAAACUGACAGACAUCAUAAAUAACGACCAUGAAAAUGUGAAAUAUCUCCCCGGACACAAGCUGCCAGAAAAUGUGGUGGCUGUCGCGAACCUCGGUGAGGCCGUGCAGGACGCAGACCUGCUGGUGUUUGUCAUCCCCCACCAGUUCAUCCACCGGAUCUGCGACGAGAUCACGGGGAGGGUGCCGAAGGACGCUCUGGGCAUCACCCUCAUCAAGGGCAUAGACGAGGGUCCUGAGGGGCUGAAGCUCAUUUCUGACAUCAUCCGAGAGAAGAUGGGCAUUGACAUCAGCGUGCUGAUGGGAGCUAACAUUGCCAACGAGGUGGCCGCCGGCAAGUUCUGCGAGACCACCAUCGGCAGCAAGAUCAUGGAGAACGGCCUUCUCUUCAAAGAACUUCUGCAGACUCCUAAUUUUCGAAUCACAGUGGUGGAUGAUGCAGACACAGUUGAACUUUGUGGUGCUCUGAAGAACAUCGUGGCCGUAGGCGCCGGCUUCUGUGACGGCCUCCUCUGCGGCGAUAACACGAAAGCCGCCGUCAUCCGCCUGGGGCUCAUGGAGAUGAUCGCCUUCGCCCGGAUCUUCUGCAAAGGCCAAGUGUCUACGGCCACGUUCCUGGAGAGCUGCGGCGUGGCCGAUCUCAUCACCACCUGCUACGGGGGCCGGAACCGCAAGGUGGCCGAGGCCUUCGCCAGGACCGGCAAGACCAUCGAGGAACUGGAGAAGGAGAUGCUGAAUGGACAGAAGCUGCAAGGACCUCAGACUUCAGCCGAGGUGUACCGCAUCCUCAAACAGAAGGGGCUGCUCGACAAAAGUGGACCUUCUAACUGAUUAGAAGUUGGUGAUGGACAGGGAGGCCUGGCGUGCUGCGGUUCAUGGGGUCGCAAAGAGUCGGACACAACUGAGCAACUGAACUGAACUGAGAAGUGGACUGUGUCGUGCCUGUGUUGAAUGAGGUUCCCGUUGUUCACUGCCGUGUACCAGAUCUGCUAUGAAGGCCGGCCCGUUCAAGAGAUGUUGUCUUGUCUCCAGAGCCAUCCAGAGCAUAUAUAGAGUGAAUCAUGCAACCUAUCAGGAAACGGUCUGCCUUUCGUAUCAGACGUUUAGAUGGGUGGAAAGCAGGACUUGGCAACAGAGAUGUAUGCUUCAUCCCGUCAUGGAUGAGUAUGAAUUCUUACCAGGUCCACUUUUGAAUUGCAAGAUGAAGUUCAUUGGCUCAGAUGUUACUGGGCAACAUCUAGACGCACAUAUUGUGACCAUGUGAGUGUGUGUUCCUUUCUCAUUGUAUGGAUGUUUCUAUGAACCAAAAUUAAAGGCCCUUUUUAAAAAAUCACUUUUGAAAUUUUCCCACCGUGGUAGCUUACAAGAUGUGGAACUAUCAUAGCUAAAAGUUUUGAGUUUCACUAAAGGAUUUUUUUUUUCUCAUUCUCAAGGUUAAAAUGUAACAAGCACUAACAUGGCAGAGUAGAUGAGUGAGGGGGUUCAAAGAUCAACUUACGUAACUUAAGCACUAUCUGAGAGCCAGCAUAAUUAUCUACUUCAAUUGUGGGUUGAUCUUUUUUUUUAAGUAAUUACAUAUUUUGAUUAGGUAAUCCAGCCAUCUGUAUAUUCCACUCAUUGCAGUUUUCUGCACUUUUAGCCUCUUUUCUCUUCGUUAGCUACCAGAAUGUACUUUGGCAAAGGCAUAGCAGUGGCAGAAGGCAGAAAACCCACCUGGAAUGUUCCUGCUGUGUUCUUCUGAUUAGCGACCAUUGUAUGAUGCUUUUUGUCAGGUUGUACUUCCGUUCACACAUUUCCUGUAAGCCUCACAGAUCCCCUGAAAGGGGGCAGCUGUUAUUCCUCUUCUAAGGUCCAGCCUCUGUGCCUGGUCAUCUGACGAGAAGGGCCAGAUCCAGAGGCUCUCGGUCGUCACUGGCCUUUGAACUCCCGCUGAUUGGUCGUAGCAAAUGCUGUCCCCAGGCUUUCUUGAGGUGUGGGCAGCUUUCUGCAGUUGAAGCUUGCAUGGGUCCUUGUCUAGGAGGAUGUCACUCAGUGUGGACCUCACUCCAUUCGCUCCACUUGGAGUCUCUUAGAAACAUAGGUUCCCAGGUCCCUCCCCGACCCCAGCCCCUGAAGUGGGGUCUUGUAUCUCUGCUUUGACAUGCCUUCCAUGUGUUUCAAUGCUCACUACUGUCUUGAGAACCACUACUGUAGAAAAUGUAUUAUUUAUUAGCAUUUCUCAAACCAUGUUCCAUAGGAAGCCAGUGUCCCAGGAUCCAGUAGUGGUCCUGCUGUUCCCUAGCAAGAUCCAGUGAGUUUGGGAAAAGCCGUGUCCGUACACCCCUCCUGAAGGGAUGGACUGUGUGUUCAUGGAACGUGCUUAUUUAACCCAGCAAGUCCCAGACAGAUUAUGGAGAUUUUUUUUUUUUUUUGGCAAGGAAACUUACCAGAGUUUCCAAGGAACACUAUUCCAGGCUGAGGCACCUGUAGGACAGCACAAGUAUGCUUCACUCUCUGCAAGAAAUGAGAAUGAAUGGCUGCCUGCAGUAUUGUUCAUUCCGCACCUUUAUGUAAAGUUCAGGUCUGCCACAAUCUUUGCUGAAGCUUUAAGGCGACACUGUCAGGUACAGCCAAGUGGAUGUCAACUUCGCUGAAACGCACACUGUGUGGACUAAGUGCUUUUAAUUCUAGAAUUAGAACGGAAAUGACUGUAUCUUUGUAAAUGUGAUUGGUUUCAAGAGAGCACUGCGGUUACCUUACAUACUAGCGGAUGAGUGUUAAGGAAGCGUGUGAAUGUCUCUUACAUAUUCAUGGAUUUUCAGUCACUUUGAGAUUUUGACUUUUUUAUUUUCCAGCUUGGGAUUUUUUUUUCCCUUCUAUACCCGGAAUGAUUGUAAACUAGAUUUUUUGGUGGGAAUUUUAAAAACUCCUAUAUAGAAGAAUAUGAAAGCACACAAAAUGCUAUGUUUCAUCGAUUUUAGUGCCACUGUUUAUCAAUUUUUGCUUAUCUCAUAAUUAAUCUUUUUAAAAGUUUGUACAUAAGUAACAAAGUUACUUUUUAAGAUACAUAAAGGGCUGUAAGCUAAUUGUGGUGUCUGUCAAGUAGCAUCAUCAGAUGUGAGGAUUCGGAUUUUUGUCUUGUGUGUGUUCUUCAUCUGCAUUCAGCUUCCAACUCUGGGUUUUGUACUUGAGUGUUUUUUUCCUUUAUAAAUGCCUUCUCACCCUUCUGAAGUCUUCUGACUGUACCUUUUGAACAUACUUAUGAUAUUCUGCACAUAUAGAAAAAGGUAAAUUUUAUAUAAGUUUAUGCUUUGCUAACUGUAGAUAUUUAUUACUCUACGAGUUAUCUAUUUUUAUAACCACCUGUGGUCCAUCAUUUAUUUUAAUUCACCUUUCUUACUACUAAUUAUGGUAAUUGGGGAGGGAGACAUCUAGAAAAGAAGCUUAAUUUAUACUGUUUCAGCCAAAUCUGUGAAUGUAAAAACUACACUGUUGCCUUGCGAUAAUCCAGCCUACUAUAAUGUGGAACAAUGUCCGUCUUGAAACCCAUCCUAGCAGGUGGAAUUGAGCUAAACUCCUGGUUUUUUAUUUAAGUCUUAGCUAUCAUGUGGCCCCAUGGCAUCAGCCCAGGGAGUAGUGAGAUGCCACUGUACCAAGGAAUCUUCCAUUUCUUCCACUAGCUCUAAUCUAAGGGCCUUUUACCUACACAUGUACUGUGUUUGUUUACAGACUGUAGGUGGAUAUGAUUUCAAAGCUUGAUUUAAUAAAAAUUGAAUCCCCCCAAACCUGUGCUACUGAUCCUAUUUUUUUAAAUCAGCUUAUGUAAUAGUUUUAUUUGUUUAGGUAGUCUCUUUUAUUUCUCUCCCCGAGUUGUGUUACCUUGACAACAAUAAAAACGCAAAUUUUAAAAGAA